rnacentral:rRNA from 1 species
UACGAAGGGAGCUAGCGUUGUUCGGAAUCACUGGGCGUAAAGCGCACGUAGGCGGAUGUGUCAGUCAGGGGUGAAAUCCUGGAGCUCAACUCCAGAACUGCCUUUGAUACUGGGGAUCUCGAGUCCGGAAGAGGUGAGUGGAACUCCGAGUGUAGAGGUGAAAUUCGUAGAUAUUCGGAAGAACACCAGUGGCGAAGGCGGCUCACUGGUCCGGUACUGACGCUGAGGUGCGAAAGCGUGGGGAGCAAACAGG